UACGUAGGGGGCUAGCGUUGUCCGGAAUCAUUGGGCGUAAAGAGCGUGUAGGCGGCCCGGUAAGUCCGCUGUGAAAGUCGGGGGCUCAACCCUCGAAUGCCGGUGGAUACUGUCGGGCUAGAGUGCGGAAGAGGCGAGUGGAAUUCCUGGUGUAGCGGUGAAAUGCAUAGAUAUGACAUAGAACACCAAUUGCGAAGGCAGCUCACUAAACAGCGAUUGACGCUGAGGCACGAAAGCGUGGGGAUCAAACAGG
rnacentral:rRNA from 1 species